GUGAAACUCAAAGGAAUUCACGGGGACCCGCACAAGUAUGGGAGCAGGUAGUUUAAGUCGUAUCAAAUCGUAGACCCUCACCUAAUCUUUAUAUACCCAUGACAUCACCAUCAAUGGGGAGUUUUAUUCGGUGUCAUUUGGGAAGAGUGGCGUGUGGUUAUCGUCAGCUCGGGUCGGGGGAGGUCGGGGUAAGCUCCGCGACGAUCGCAACUCAGGUCUUUAGUUGCUUUCAUUAAGUUGUGCUCUUUAGUGAC
rnacentral:rRNA from 1 species